UUCAAUUAAGAUACCCCUUCGGGAAGAUAGUGAAUGGAUUGGAGUUGCUUGUUGCUGCAUUUUUGUCAAUAAUGAUGCUUCAAGGGAUGACAACCAGGAUACCAAGUGUGGAAUAUUUAUCUAUUGUAAUGGAUCUAUUUUUUGUGGUAGAAAUCCUCGACAGAUUGAUUGGAUAGAAUGGGUGGUGGGUAAACGAUUUUGCCAGCCCAUAAUGAAAGACCACAUUUUUCUUUAUUAUUGGUCACGUGAUAGAUUCGAUCCAUUUUCGAAGGAUAAAUAUGGUGACUGUGAAACCAAUAAUUUAUGGACAACAAAUAGCUCAGAUCGAAUAUGUGAUGAGAUUGAGGUGUCUUUCAUUGGAAGUAGUGUUAAGGUGAAGAAGUGUGGUGCUAGAAUAGUGUAUAAGAAAGAUUUGGAAGAAAUCAAAGAGUUGCAGUGCCAUAGCACUCCAUCUUCUCCAAAUCUUGAACACAUCCACCAACACUCUGCUCAAAACAAUGGAUUUAUUGGUAGCACUUCUCUCCUAAAACGAAAACGAAAUAUCUACGAGGAAGCAGAGGAAGAAGGGCCGCAACCAAAACGGAUGUAAAAAGUUUUCAAUUUUAUAAUGGGCUAAUCGGGGAAGAAGCAUUCACUGUGGAUGCAAUUGAUCAAAGGUAAGCUGAAAAGGGGCCAAAUUAGAAGAAAAUUAUUGGAAUGGGCCAAAGCGAAAAGAUGGAGCAAGCCAAGGACUAGUCAUAAAUUUGGCUUUAUAAAAAGCCAAAAAUAGGAAAUUCUAUUUUAAGUUUAUUUUAAUUUUAUUUAUUUUUAAUUAUUAUUAUUUUAGAUUUUAUAUUAAUUUUCUUAAGCUAUUUUUAGUAAACCCUAUCUAUAUAAAUAGGGGGUUUUAGUUCUUUGGAAAUCAUCCAUUAAUCAAUUGUCUUUACAUUCUUAUUUCA